CGAUGGUCAGGGCCUUUUCAUCCGAAUGGUCUUAAUGUUAAAGAAGCCCCCAACUGGAGUGGAUAGGAGUGGAAAACAGGCAGUAACAAAGCCAUUUAAGAAGAAGAACAAAUUUUUAUCAAGUACCAAUGGCAAUAUCAAGAAACAGUUUAAAGUUCAAUUUCUACUAAUAAAUCAACUGCGGCGAUGAAACACGCCCGGUUACUAAACAUACUGAUGCGUUAUCAAAUUGUGAGUGAUUGUAUAAUGUGGAAUAUGUUCGUACUCUCCACACAUGUGCGAAAGCAGAAAGGUACACUUAUAAAAAAGAUCCAAACGCAUCUUAAGUUAGUGCUGGUGUCAAUCUAUUUAGCAUUUAUUUAGUGUUCAAACAUCGAUUUGAGACGUACGUUACAAAUGCUGAUAUCGACUUUUCAGAGCCGAUCAGUUCUGAUGUGAGAGCGUAAAAUAUUAGCAUACUAUUGAGCUACACAACGCACACAUCCGUAUGUAUUUACCGUAAGAAGCAGUCUACUAUCAACUUUAAUUUGGGAUGAUAAGCCGACACAAACACAUACAUACAUAUGCCUGAACGUAAGUAUACAUGCAUAUGCACAUGGAUAAGGAACGUAGAUCAGACCUAUGUGAAUUCACUUCGGGAGGUAUCGACUAGACAUUGCAGAGCCCUACGAUUUGACCCCUGUCAAGGGAAAAAUAACGAAUACACGCUAGUACAUAGAUCACGAUAACCCGUGCCGAAUUUGAAGUUGAGGUUUUGGUUCAGAACUUAACUACAUACAUUAGUAAAGCACAAGCGUCACAGACGAAGUUGAUAA